rnacentral:rRNA from 1 species
AUGAACGCUGGCGGCGUGCCUAAUACAUGCAAGUCGAGCGAACGGACGAGAAGCUUGCUUCUCUGAUGUUAGCGGCGGACGGGUGAGUAACACGUGGAUAACCUACCUAUAAGACUGGGAUAACUUCGGGAAACCGGAGCUAAUACCGGAUAAUAUUUUGAACCGCAUGGUUCAAAAGUGAAAGACGGUCUUACUGUCACUUAUAGAUGGAUCCGCGCUGCAUUAGCUAGUUGGUAAGGUAACGGCUUACCAAGGCAACGAUGCAUAGCCGACCUGAGAGGGUGAUCGGCCACACUGGAACUGAGACACGGUCCAGACUCCUACGGGAGGCAGCAGUAGGGAAUCUUCCGCAAUGGGCGAAAGCCUGACGGAGCAACGCCGCGUGAGUGAUGAAGGUCUUCGGAUCGUAAAACUCUGUUAUUAGGGAAGAACAUAUGUGUAAGUAACUGUGCACAUCUUGACGGUACCUAAUCAGAAAGCCACGGCUAACUACGUG